rnacentral:snoRNA from 1 species
UGCACUGCACAGUUCUGCAUUCAACAGUUUAUUCCUUCUGGGGUGUUCAAAGGUCAGUGACACAGAAAUCCAGUAUCUGGCAUCUUUGGUUUUCUUGGCUUUGUGCAUAUUUAACCUUGUAUCUAUUGAUACAGUA